rnacentral:tRNA from 1 species
UGGCUCAGGCAGUAAAGAAUCUGCCUGCAAAGCAGAAGACCCAGGUUCGAUCCCUGG